rnacentral:rRNA from 1 species
UGUAAGCGUAUACCAAAGUUGUUGCAGUUAAAACGCUCGUAGUCGGCAUUUGGCAGUUCCGGAUGUGUGCACGUCGUGUGCGCACUUCGCGGGGAUUGCUUUUGUGGUCUUGCGUAGGAUGAGGCACUUUUAUUAGUGAACGUCCUCACGCAACCACUUUUUACUGUGAGAAAAUCAGAGUGCUCAAAGCAGGCAUUUGCCGUGAAUGUAUUAGCAUGGAAUAAUAGAAUAGGACUUGGUUCUAUUUUGUUGGUUUGUUGGGACUGAGUAAUGAUUAAGAGGGACAGUUGGGGGCAUUUGUAUUUCGGUGCUAGAGGUGAAAUUCUUAGAUUACCGAAAGACAAACUGCUGCGAAAGCGUCUGCCAAGGAUGUUUUCAUUGA